rnacentral:rRNA from 1 species
AGAGCGAACGCUGGCGGCAUGCUUAACACAUGCAAGUCGCACGGCCGGGCAACCGGCAGUGGCGGACGGGUGAGUAACGCGUAGGUAUCUAUCUCUGGGUGGGGGACAACGGCUGGAAACGGCUGCUAAUACCGCAUGAUGACCGAGGUCUAAAGGCGCAAGUCGCCUGGGGAGGAGCCUGCGUACGAUUAGCUAGUUGGUGGGGUAACUGCCUACCAAGGCGACGAUCGUUAGCUGGUCUGAGAGGAUGAUCAGCCACAUUGGGACUGAGACACGGCCCAAACUCCUACGGGAGGCAGCAGUGGGGAAUAUUGCGCAAUGGGCGAAAGCCUGACGCAGCGACGCCGCGUGGGGAUGAAGGCCUUCGGGUUGUAACCCUUUCAGCAGGGACGAAGCGAAAGUGACGGUACCUGCAGAAGAAGCACCGGCUAACUACGUGCCAGCAGCCGC